UGACGCUGAGGAGCGAAAGCGUGGGGAGCGAACAGGAUUAGAUACCCUGGUAGUCCACGCCGUAAACGAUGAGUGCUAGGUGUUAGGGGGUUUCCGCCCCUUAGUGCUGAAGUUAACGCAUUAAGCACUCCGCCUGGGGAGUACGGCCGCAAGGCUGAAACUCAAAAGAAUUGACGGGGGCCCGCACAAGCGGUGGAGCAUGUGGUUUAAUUCGAAGCAACGCGAAGAACCUUACCAGGUCUUGACAUCCUCUGCUAUUCCUAGAGAUAGGAAGUUCCCUUCGGGGACAGAGUGACAGGUGGUGCAUGGUUGUCGUCAGCUCGUGUCGUGAGAUGUUGGGUUAAGUCCCGCAACGAGCGCAACCCUUGAUCUUAGUUGCCAGCAUUUAGUUGGGCACUCUAAGGUGACUGCCGGUGACAAACCGGAGGAAGGUGGGGAUGACGUCAAAUCAUCAUGCCCCUUAUGACCUGGGCUACACACGUGCUACAAUGGAUGGAACAAAGGGAAGCAAAACCGCGAGGUCAAGCAAAUCCCAUAAAACCAUUCUCAGUUCGGAUUGCAGGCUGCAACUCGCCUGCAGUCGAAGCGCAGGAAUCGCUAGUUGAUCGCGGUUCGGGGGUGCCGCUUGUGGAAUGAGCGUUCGGCCGGGCCUGUGUACACACCGCUGGUCACACCUGCCUGUAAGAGUUGGAUAACACCCGGGAAGUCGGUGAGGUAAUACCUUUGGAUAAUACUUUCUUUUGCAUAAAGGAAAGUUGAAAGGCGGCUUCGGCUGUCACUUACAGAUGGGCCCGCGGCGCAUUAGCUAGUUGGUGAGGUAACGGCUCACCAAGGCGACGAUGCGUAGCCGACCUGAGAGGGUGAUCGGCCACACUGGGACUGAGACACGGCCCAGACUCCUACGGGAGGCAGCAGUAGGGAAUCUUCCGCAAUGGACGAAAGUCUGACGGAGCAACGCCGCGUGAGUGAUGAAGGUUUUCGGAUCGUAAAACUCUGUUGUUAGGGAAGAACAAGUUGGGUAGUAACUGACCCAACCUUGACGGUACCUAACCAGAAAGCCACGGCUAACUACGUGCCAGCAGCCGCGGUAAUACGUAGGUGGCAAGCGUUGUCCGGAAUUAUUGGGCGUAAAGCGCUCGCAGGCGGUCCUUUAAGUCUGAUGUGAAAUCUCGCGGCUCAACCGCGAACGGUCAUUGGAAACUGGAGGACUUGAGUACAGAAGAGGAGAGUGGAAUUCCACGUGUAGCGGUGAAAUGCGUAGAGAUGUGGAGGAACACCAGUGGCGAAGGCGACUCUCUGGUC
rnacentral:rRNA from 1 species